ACCCUUUCUUCGCCUUUUGGCUAGGAUCAAGUGUAGUAUAUGUUCUAAUCAGUUUAAUCUGAUAUGUGAACCGUCGGCUCACAUGAGAUUAAUUUCUUGUGGGGGAUGGUCCACCACAGCAGCUUGCUACUGGGGCAGUCGGGCAUCGCCCUUUCAUUCCACUACUGCAUGGGCCUGGCACACCCUCC